GUAAGGAAUAUUGGUCAAUGGACGAAAGUCUGAACCAGCCAUGCCGCGUGGAGGAUGAAGGUCCUCUGGAUUGUAAACUUCUUUUAUAUGGGACGAAAAAAGGCUUUUCUAAGUCGUCUGACGGUACCAUAUGAAUAAGCACCGGCUAACUCCGUGCCAGCAGCCGCGGUAAUACGGAGGGUGCAAGCGUUAUCCGGAUUCACUGGGUUUAAAGGGUGCGUAGGUGGAUUGCCAAGUCCGUGGUGAAAUCUUCGAGCUUAACUCGGAAACUGCCAUGGAUACUGGUGAUCUUGAAUAUCGUGGAGGUUAGCGGAAUAUGUCAUGUAGCGGUGAAAUGCUUAGAUAUGGCACAGAACACCAAUUGCGAAGGCAGCUCACUAAGGCGAUACUGACGCUGAGGCACGAAAGCGUGGGGAUCGAACAGGAUUAGAAACCCGGGUAGUCC
rnacentral:rRNA from 1 species